rnacentral:rRNA from 1 species
CAGUUCAGAUUGCAGGCUGCAACUCGCCUACACGAAGUUGGAAUUGCUAGUAAUCGUGGAUCAGCAUGCCACGGUGAAUACGUUCCCGGGUCUUGUACACACCGCCCGUCACACCAUGGGAGCUGGUAACACCCGAAGUCAGUAGUCUAACCGCAAGGAGGACGCUGCCGAAGGUGGGAUUAGCGACUGGGGUGAAGUCGUAACAAGGUAGC